AGAAGAUAAAGUCCCGACCAGAGAAGAAUGGCAGAUCAAGUUGAUAAAGGCCGGGGGCUGAUCCAGGGAGGAAAAGAGAAGUCACCGGAAGGGAUGGCACCCAACAUCUUCACUCAAAUAUCCGAAUGUGCCCACAAGCCUAAGAUGGUUGGCAACCCAUGCACUAUAUAAUGGAGGGCACUUAGAUAAUGUCAUCACAAAUUACUGUUUUCCACACAGCGCAGAUGAUAAGACCAGAGGCAUUGAAGGAGCAUAAAUGGGGAAAACAAGAUCAGAAGAUCAAGGAAGCCACUUUCCUUGACUUGU